rnacentral:rRNA from 1 species
CUACGGGGGGCUGCAGUGGGGAAUAUUGCACAAUGGAGGAAACUCUGAUGCAGCAACGCCGCGUGGAGGAUGACACUUUUCGGAGCGUAAACUCCUUUUAUAUAGGAAGAAGAUGACGGUACUAUAUGAAUAAGCGCCGGCUAACUCCGUGCCAGCAGCCGCGGUAAUACGGAGGGCGCAAGCGUUACUCGGAAUCACUGGGCGUAAAGAGCGUGUAGGCGGAUUAAAAAGUCAGAAGUGAAAUCCUAUAGCUUAACUAUAGAACUGCUUCUGACACUCUUAAUCUAGAAUAUGGGAGAGGUAGAUGGAAUUUCUGGUGUAGGGGUAAAAUCCGUAGAGAUCAGAAGGAAUACCGAUUGCGAAGGCGAUCUACUGGAACAUUACUGACGCUGAGAUGCGAAAGCGUGGGGAGCAAACAGGAUUAGAUACCCGUGUAGUC